GUGCAUGUAUUUGACUCAGCCACCCCUGCCUAAGGAUCUGGAUCCUGRCCAGCAGCACCUGACCUCAGACCAUCUCAUCAGUAUGGACCUGCCUGGGGAUUACUGGUCUGUGUUUAAACCUGGUCUCCAGACCUGAUCCUGACCUAGGCUCAUUGACUUGCCUUUGUAAUUUGACUUCAAACCUGGUGACCUUGGACUUGCCUGAGAACCUGGCCUCUCACCUGCCCCUGGGGAACUGGAGACUAGAGAGUUGGAGUCCCUCCGUGCCAUCUGAGACCCCUGAUGGCCAUGAUACGAGGACAGCAGAGCUGAGUCUCUGGCACCCCGGCCCUUCUUGGGAUGUCACAGAUCUGAGGAGGGGAGUUUGCAUGGAGCCUAAAGGURCUCCUUGCACCAUCCU